rnacentral:rRNA from 1 species
AGACAGCAGUCGCCGCGGGAAUACGUAGGGUGCGAGCGUUAAUCGGAAUUACUGGGCGUAAAGCGUGCGCAGGCGGUUAUAUAAGACAGAUGUGAAAUCCCCGGGCUCAACCUGGGACCUGCAUUUGUGACUGUAUAGCUAGAGUACGGUAGAGGGGGAUGGAAUUCCGCGUGUAGCAGUGAAAUGCGUAGAUAUGCGGAGGAACACUGAUGGCGAAGGCAAUCCCCUGGACCUGUACUGACGCUCAUGCACGAAAGCGUGGGGAGCAAACAGGAUUAGAUACCCCCGUAGUCCCUGUCUCUUAUAC